UACGGAGGAUCCAAGCGUUAUCCGGAAUUACUGGGCGUAAAGAGUUGCGUAGGUGGCAUAGUAGCAGGUAGUGAAAUCGUGUGGCUCAACCAUACUCACAUUACUUGAACUGCUAAGCUUGAGGGCGAGAGAGGUAACUAGAAUUCCUAGUGUAGGAGUGAAAUCCGUAGAUAUUAGGAGGAAUACCGAUGGCGUAGGCAGGUUACUGGCUCGUCCCUGACACUAAGGCACGAAAGCGUGGGGAGCGACCGGGA
rnacentral:rRNA from 1 species